GACGGAGGAUGCAAGCGUUAUCCGGAAUGAUUGGGCGUAAAGCGUCCGCAGGUGGCAGUUCAAGUCUGCUGUCAAAGACCGGGGCUUAACUUCGGAAAGGCAGUGGAAACUGAACAGCUAGAGUAUGGUAGGGGCAGAGGGAAUUCCUGGUGUAGCGGUGAAAUGCGUAGAGAUCAGGAAGAACAUCGGUGGCGAAGGCGCUCUGCUGGACCAUAACUGACACUCAGGGACGAAAGCUAGGGGAGCGAACGGG
rnacentral:rRNA from 1 species